rnacentral:rRNA from 1 species
GUGGGGAAUCUUGCGCAAUGGGCGAAAGCCUGACGCAGCCAUGCCGCGUGAAUGAUGAAGGUCCUAGGUUUGUAAAAUUCUUUCACCGGGGACGAUAAUGACGGUACCCGGAGAAGAAGCCCCGGCUAACUUCGUGCCAGCAGCCGCGGUCAUACGAAGGGGGCUAGCGUUGCUCGGAAUUACUGGGCGUAAAGGGCGCGUAGGCGGACAGUUUAGUCAGAGGUGAAAGCCCAGGGCUCAACCUUGGAAUUGCCGUUGAUACUGGCUGUCUUGAGUACGGGAGAGGUGAGUGGAACACCGGGUGUAGGGGUGAAAUACGUAGAUAUUCGGAAGAACACCAGUGGCGAAGGCGACUCACUGGCCCGUUACUGACGCUGAGGCGCGAAAGCGUGGGGAGCAAACAGGAUUAGAAACCCCAGUAGUCC